CGUCGAGAUGCGAAAAGGCUAUGAUUAGUGACCCUCAAAGUUUGCACCCUUCGACUGGAUCAAGUGAUUCGGCUGAUGAGGGAUCGGACCAGCCGAGUUCGAAAAUAUCUACUGUGAAAUCAGUUCGGCUGGAUGAGCCGAAUGUAUGGAAAACACUGAAAUUUGGGUCGGCCGAUGAGCCGAAUGCCUUUAUAUAUUGAAAUUAACUUGCGAAAAUAAUACAAAAGUCAAGUGUGCCUAAGGGCAUACAGACUCGGUUGAUCUAGCUUAAUUCUACUCCUGGGGAAAAAAUAGUAGGUGCGGGAAAAUAAAGGAUUACA
rnacentral:lncRNA from 1 species